AUCUCUGGGUCCCCAAUGCCAUUCUUGGCUUGGGGACAAAAUAUCCCGGAGGUCGAACUUGAGAGCGUAGGGUACCCACUACCCUGCCUAGCUGAUCGAGUUUGUAGAGUUCGUCUUUGCGCACCGGGACUCGAGAAUCACUAGGCCUGUGGAUAACCGAACCCUGCGAUCCUGACCCAGCUUCUGUGGCUUUCUGAAGGGAUCUUUUGCCCUCCCUCCCGCCACCUGAAGAGAGGAGCCAUCAGGAUGAAUUGAUUCAUGAUGCCCCGCCUAACAGCAGCUAGAGUGAUGGCACAGUCAAGGCUGAGGACUCUGGGAAAAUAUCCAGCCUGCUCCCACAAGAACAGGAGUACUGGUAAGUCACUCUUUCUGAUGGUAUCCCUAGGGCUCAAACACUUGGUCCUUGCUAGUCCCACGGGGGAGCUCUGGUUUGUCCUUUGUUUUUAUUUUCAUAAAGGAUCUACGGGAGUU
rnacentral:lncRNA from 1 species